rnacentral:rRNA from 1 species
AUUGAACGCUGGCGGCAGGCCUAACACAUGCAAGUCGAGCGAGCGGCGGACGGGUGAGUAAUGUAUGGGGACUGCCCGAUAGAGGGGGAUAACUACUGGAAACGGUGGCUAAUACCGCAUACUAUCGGAUAACCCAUAUGGGAUUAGCUAGUAGGUGGGGUAAAGGCUCACCUAGGCGACGAUCUCUAGCUGGUCUGGGAGGAUGAUCGGCCACACUGGGACUAAGACGCGGCCCAGAAUCCUACGGAGGCAACAGUGGGGAAUAUUGGAGGAUGUGCGCAAGCCUGGUGCAGCCAUGCCGCGUGUAUGAAGAAGGCCUUAGGGUUGGAAAGUACUUUCAGCGGGGGGGCGUUGCCCGCAGAAGAGGCACCGGCUAACUCCGUGCCAGCAGCCGCGGUAAUAC